rnacentral:rRNA from 1 species
GAUGAACGCUAGCUACAGGCUUAACACAUGCAAGUCGCGGGGCAGCAUGGGGGUUGCUUGCAAUCCCCGAUGGCGACCGGCGCACGGGUGAGUAACGCGUAUCCAACCUGCCCUUCACCACGGGAUAACCCGGCGAAAGUCGGACUAAUACCGUAUGUUGUCCAUUGACGGCAUCCGAUUUGGACGAAAGGCUUGGCGGUGAGGGGUGGGGAUGCGUCCGAUUAGCCAGACGGCGGGGUACCGGCCCACCGUGGCUACGAUCGGUAGGGGUUCUGAGAGGAAGGUCCCCCACACUGGAACUGAGACACGGUCCAGACUCCUACGGGAGGCAGCAGUGAGGAAUAUUGGUCAAUGGGCGUAAGCCUGAACCAGCCAAGUAGCGUGCAGGAUGACGGCCCUAUGGGUUGUAAACUGCUUUUAUGCGGGGAUAAAGUGGCCCACGUGUGGGCUUUUGCAGGUACCGCAUGAAUAAGGACCGGCUAAUUCCGUG